UACGUAGGGGCCAAGCGUUGUCCGGAUUUAUUGGGCGUAAAGAGCUCGUAGGCGGUUCGGCAAGUCGAAUGUGAAAUCUCCACGCUCAACGUGGAGGGGUCAUUCGAUACUGCCGUGACUUGAGUACGGUAGGGGAGUGUGGAAUUCCCGGUGUAGCGGUGAAAUGCGCAGAGAUCGGGAGGAACACCCGUAGCGAAGGCGGCACUCUGGGCCGAUACUGACGCUGAGACGCGAAAGCGUGGGGAGCGAACAGG
rnacentral:rRNA from 1 species